UACGGAGGAUGCAAGCGUUAUCCGGAAUUAUUGGGCGUAAAGCGUCCGCAGGUGGCUAUUCAAGUCUGCGGUCAAAGACUGGGGCUUAACCCUGGAAAGGCCGUGGAAACUGAAGAGCUAGAGUGCAGUAGGGGUAGAGGGAAUUCCCGGUGUAGCGGUGAAAUGCGUAGAGCUCGGGAAGAACAUCGGUGGCGAAAGCGCUCUGCUGGACUGUAACUGACACUCAGGGACGAAAGCUAGGGGAGCGAAUGGG
rnacentral:rRNA from 1 species